GACCUCAAAUCAGGUAGGAUUACCCGCUGAACUUAAGCAUAUCAAUAAGCGGAGGA
rnacentral:rRNA from 5 species